GUUGAACGCUGGCGGCAGGCCUAACACAUGCAAGUCGAACGGUAACAGGAAGAAGCUUGCUUCUUUGCUGACGAGUGGCGGACGGGUGAGUAAUGUCUGGAAACUGCCUGAUGGAGGGGGAUAACUACUGGAAACGGUAGCUAAUACCGCAUAACGUCGCAAGACCAAAGAGGGGGACCUUCGGGCCUCUUGCCAUCGGAUGUGCCCAGAUGGGAUUAGCUAGUAGGUGGGGUAACGGCUCACCUAGGCGACGAUCCCUAGCUGGUCUGAGAGGAUGACCAGCCACACUGGAACUGAGACACGGUCCAGA
rnacentral:rRNA from 1 species